UAGGAUAGGUGGGAGACUGUGAAGCGGUGACGCCAGUUACUGUGGAGUCGUUGUUGAAAUACCACUCUGAUCGUAUUGGAUACCUCAACCUCGGACCAUGAUCUGGUUCAGGGACAGUGCCUGGUGGGUAGUUUAACUGGGGCGGUUGCCUCCUAAAAAGUAACGGAGGCGCUCAAAGGUUCCCUCAGCCUGGUUGGCAAUCAGGUGUUGAGUGUAAGUGCACAAGGGAGCUUGACUGUGAGACAGACAUGUCGAGCAGGGACGAAAGUCGGAACUAGUGAUCCGGCGUCGGCAUGUGGAAGCGGCGUCGCUCAACGGAUAAAAGGUACCCCGGGGAUAACAGGCUGAUCUUCCCCAAGAGUCCAUAUCGACGGGAUGGUUUGGCACCUCGAUGUCGGCUCGUCGCAUCCUGG
rnacentral:rRNA from 1 species